AGCGCGGGGUGAAGUCUCGCGAGGUGAUGGACGCGCGGUUGGCGCCUCCUGCUGAGGAGCGGGAGGGAUGGCGGCGCCAUAUUGUACGUGUGGUCGAGGCGCUGCUUACACUGUGCUACAGAGAAGGCUGUGUUUGGUUCUGUUCACUUGAGGGCAGCAUCCCGGAGAGCAGCGUUACAAGUUGGUGUUCAAGACUCGAAUUCCCCUAAUUGAGUGAUGAGUGCAGCUGUAAGUAUGUGCCCACAUAAACUGACAUGCAUCCCCAGCACAGGCUCUCUCUGGUCUGCACAAGGUGAGCUUGCAGAGAAGCCAACACACCUGUGUUAUUUACAGGGAGGGCCAGCUACCCUGUGCCAAGUGGUGCAGGCAGCAGGUAACCUGUCAGUCAGGGCACAUAUCCUUGUUCUUUUCAGCAGUAUAAAACAGAACUGGCUUUCUGUUUUAAACAGAGUUGCACAGAGUUUUGUUCGUGGUUAUUUCACACGUGUUGGGAGGUACCCAGAUACAGGAAUACUCACGUUUUUCACCUCCAGAUAUGCCUCCAGACCAUAUUCUCCCAGCUCUCUCCCAUUCCCAGAUGCUUUGUAGCCACCAAAUGGAGCUUGUGCACCAAACACAUUAUAGCAGUUUACCCUGAAAAGGAAACCAAGAGUUAAAAACCUCUUGUUAACCCCAGUAUGGUAAUGGAAGAGCUCCUUCACAGCAAUUAUCUGUUUACAGCAGAGGAAGGGCUGAAUUUCUGGGCACAGUUUCCAUAUUUGUUAGUUAUCUUGGUCAACAGGGUUACGCAGUAAUGGAACCUUAUCUUCAUCGACCAGGAAACGGAACAGCAUGAAAUUAGUUCACGUCUUGCAUCACAUAACCAAGUGUCUGGGUUGCUACCCACAGCUCUGAAGGAGGUGUGAUUAAAAAUAAAUGAUACCAGGUUCACUGAAUGUACUUAAAUAAAUGAAAUAGUGAGAUGCUGGGUCUCCAAAAUCCCCUGUGCUAAAAGAGUAAAGUGUGGCAAAGUGCUGACUUUGGCAUAAUCUUCAACAUGGCCUCAGAAUACAGCCCAGAUUGUAGAGAUGUGCUCGAUGAUCUGAUCACUGCUGGCAUCAGAGCCCUAUAGCAGCUGCUGACGUUGUCAGCUGCAGAACUGGACUUCUUUUCCCUCCAUCCCACCUGCUAAUUCACUGUGGGAAAACAGAAGUUUAAUAUAACUCUUGUGUUUUACCAAAAAUCAGCAUUGCAGUUGAAAGUCAGACAUUACAUUCUGUGAGGAUCCAAAGCAGACACAGGCUUUCAAACAGCAAGUUAGAUGGGAAAGGAGAGCACAUACAUCCGACAGUUUAAGGAGAAGGAAGUGACAAGGCUUACCAGACUGUUCCAGCUCGCAGGGCCUGAGACACGUAGUUUGCCUUGUCAAUAUCUUUUGUAAAGACUGCUGCUGCUAGACCGUACUUGGAGUUAUUUGCUCUCUCGAUUAUUUCCUCUAUUGUCUUGAACUUCAUAAUCUGCAUGACAGGCCCAAAUAUCUGCAAAACCCAAGCAGAUCACAUGAAAAAGACUGUAAAUUGAUCUCAGGAGAGAUACGAGUGUCUUGCAUCAGGGGGUGCAAAAGGACAAAGUCAAGAGGAAACUGACAGGCAGGUGCUGCAGGCCUCACCUCCUCUCUGGCAAUCGUCAUGUUGUCCUGCACGUCACCAAAGACGGUUGGCUGGACGAAAUAGCCACGAUCUGCAGCAGGGUUGCCACCACACAGCAGUUUGGCUCCUUCACGCUUCCCAGUAUUGAUGUAACCAAGGAUCUUCUUAAACUGCUCUUCAUCCACCUAAGUAAGAGCCGUCAGGAUGAGCAGAUCAGUUUGGUAUAUGUCAGGGGAGAAAAAGGGAUGUAACUGCAGCCUGCAUUGCAUGCAGCUGUGCUGUCUGUUCCUCAUUUUUAAAUGCUACUUUCAAGCAGGGGGUUGGAGUAAUCAGAAUGGUUAGUUAACUUCUCCCUCCUGCACAAGGAGGUCAUGGGCACAGUUCAGAGGAGGCUGGAGGAGGUCUUUGAUUCUAACCUGGUGAUGUACAGUUACUUGAGACUGAGUUAUUUCAUGUAAUAAUGGCUCAAGACAUUUCCUGCUCUCACCUGAGGUCCCUGCUCAGUUUUAAAGUCAAAUGGGUUUCCAACCACUCUGGACUUGGCCUUCUCAACACUCCUCUCCACGAACUCAUUGUAUAUAUCCUCUUGGACGUAUGUUCGGGAUCCUGCACAGCAGCACUGCCCUUGGUUGAAGAAGAGGGCAAAAUGGGCCUGAUCCACAGCCCAGUCCACUGGAAUUGAGGAGAAGAGAGAAAAAAAGGACCUACUGAUACAUUUCACUCACGGGGAUUAUCUGUCCGCAAACUCCCACUGGCUCAUGUCUGGUGUAACAGAAGAAGUCUCCAUCUAAAGGGAUGGUUUUGCCGUGGAAUUUAUCAGACCAGCCUGCGAAGUAUCUGGUAAGAAGAAAGUUUUGGUCAGUGAAUUUAAAACAUUUCUCUGGUCACUAGAAAACAAGAAACGUUCCUUCAGCUGUUUGGUUUCCUCCCCAUCUUCAGUCACUUCAUAAAGCACGUACUAACACAAGGAUUUCCCAGGAAGGUGAUUUAUAAGAAUGGACAAUAAAUACAAACAUUUGUCUCUUGUGA